AUUUUUAUCAUAUUGUUUAUAUUAUAUUUUUUUAUAUUUAUAAGUAUACAUUAGAAAAGCGGAUUUGGUUGAGUGGUAAGAGCUUCAGCUUGUAAUGCCUAGGUCCCAAGUUUGAUUCUUGGUGCCUACAUUUAUAGUUUUUGUUGGUUUUUUUUUCUUCUCUUCAUUUUUCCAUUUUUCUAAUAAAAUUAAUACUAUAUAUUAAUGGAUGCAAUUGACAUUCCGCUAGGUCAUGGGUUCGACCCUUGUACAACUCAUUAUCUAUUUAUUUCAUUAUUUUUUUGUACUGUUUCAUUUUUAUGUUAUUUUUUAUUUUUAAUCC
rnacentral:lncRNA from 1 species